AGAGCCUAGUAAACAUAAUAUUCUUCAUGUAAUUGUAGAUUAAUGAUAACAAAGAAAAAAGAAAGAAAAGGGGGAUUACUCCCUGAUAGGAUAAAACUAACUGCAAAUCAACGAUUAAUGCAUGCUUUACAUAUCCUUAAUUUUGAUCUUUUAAAGGGUGUCGGAUGAUCAGCUAUGGAAGUACAUUUUUCUGAUAAUAUUCCUUUCUCUUAAAAAAAAAAGCAGUUCCUGUGAAUGGGUUGUUUUAAUUUGUCUGAUUUCUCUCAGACUGUUCAAGUACAGUUGGACAAUAUCCAUUAUAUCAUAGACAAAUUUUCACAAAUGCCUAGGGUGCCUAACUGGUUUUCUUGGCUUCACUGGAGAUGGCUGGUAAUUAUAGAUCUACUUGGGUUAUGUAACUGCAUUCCUAUUAUGUUAAUGUGUGUGCACAAUUUAAUUAGUAGUUUAAAACCUAUACAUGCUUAAGUUACUCUACAAGAAGAUACGUCAAAGAAACAAUGAAUCUUCCCAUGUUUUCUUCCGUCUGCUACCUCUAUAGCUUUUCUCUUCCUUCCUAAUUACAACCCUUAAAUAGAAUUCAUACCUCAUAUUGAAUUUACCGAGUAUCAUAAUUCCUCCAAGUGGUAAAGAUACCUCAAGACAAAUGCUGGGCAUAGAAGCAACAGGGCAUAAAUCUGCAAAGAAGUAAAAAGCUAACCUUUUCAAAGAAUAUUGUUCUUUCUCAGUUACCAACUUUACAUUUCCCUGUAUGGCCCCGGAAGAUGGCUGGUUAGCCAGAGACAGGCAAGAUUUCUCAAGGGAGGAACAACCUAAGACAGGCACAGUCGCAGGGGGGCCAUCAGGUGAGAAAUUGGGGAUCAACAGAGGUGAGGCUUAGAACCUCACCCCUCCUAUUUUGAGAGAAAUCUUCUGCAUCCGUGGAUGUUUUAUUGCCCUUGUCUAGCUUGGAUUAACACAUAGUCUACAGGCACACACCUGAUCAUCUACAUUUGCUCUCUUACAACACUAAACUAUGUUUUCUACCUUUAUCUUGCAUCUACCUACCACUUCAGCAUUUUAUUAAAAAUAAUAAUAAUAAUAAAGGGAGAAACUUGGGAUUCACAUAUAAAUCAAGUAUAAAAAUCAAACAAAUAUUCAUAUAUGACCUGAUUGUUUAUAGUUCAUAAUCAGGGAUCAAAACCGAAAGUUUCUGUGAUGACUGCCCUUGUACUGUUCACCAUGUAAGAAUUUAUUCACUAUAUAAGAAUUUGUUCACCAUGUAAGAACUUGUUUGUUAUGCUUCAGAAGAUUGGAGACUGAAGAGAAUUAGACUGGGGGUGGAUUAAUGAUUGUACAUUGAGCAUUGACUCCCCUAUACAGAAUUUUAUUGUUUUUAACAACCAUUUGAUCAAUAAAUAUGAGAGAUGCCCUCUCAAAAAAAAAUAAUAAAUAAAUAAAUUUUUUAAAAAAA